GCGAGCGGCGGACGGGUUAGUAACGCGUGGGAAUAUACCCUUUGGUACGGAAUAGCCUCUGGAAACGGAGAGUAAUACCGUAUGAGCCCUUCGGGGGAAAGAUUUAUCGCCAAAGGAUUAGCCCGCGUUAGAUUAGGUAGUUGGUGGGGUAAUGGCCUACCAAGCCUACGAUCUAUAGCUGGUUUUAGAGGAUGAUCAGCAACACUGGGACUGAGACACGGCCCAGACUCCUACGGGAGGCAGCAGUGGGGAAUCUUGGACAAUGGGGGCAACCCUGAUCCAGCCAUGCCGCGUGAGUGAUGAAGGCCUUAGGGUCGUAAAGCUCUUUCGCCUGUGAAGAUAAUGACGGUAGCAGGUAAAGAAACCCCGGCUAACUCCGUGCCAGCAGCCGCGGUAAUACGGAGGGGGUUAGCGUUGUUCGGAAUUACUGGGCGUAAAGCGCACGUAGGCGGACUGGAAAGUUGGGGGUGAAAUCCCGGGGCUCAACCCCGGAACUGCCUCCAAAACUAUCAGUCUAGAGUUCGAGAGAGGUGAGUGGAAUUCCAAGUGUAGAGGUGAAAUUCGUAGAUAUUUGGAGGAACACCAGUGGCGAAGGCGGCUCACUGGCUCGAUACUGACGCUGAGGUGCGAAAGUGUGGGGAGCAAACAGGAUUAGAUACCCUGGUAGUCCACACCGUAAACGAUGAAUGCCAGUCGUCGGGUAGCAUGCUAUUCGGUGACACACCUAACGGAUUAAGCAUUCCGCCUGGGGAGUACGGUCGCAAGAUUAA
rnacentral:rRNA from 2 species